AGGGUUUGAUCAUGGCUCAGAUUGAACGCUGGCGGCAUGCCUAACACAUGCAAGUCGAACGGAAACGAUGGGAGCUUGCUCCCAGGCGUCGAGUGGCGGACGGGUGAGUAAUACUUAGGAAUCUGCCCAUUAGUGGGGGACAACAUUCGGAAACGGAUGCUAAUACCGCAUACGCCCUACGGGGGAAAGCGGAGGACCUUUCGGGGCUUCGCGCUAAUGGAUGAGCCUAAGUCGGAUUAGCUUGUUGGUGAGGUAAAGGCUCACCAAGGCGACGAUCCGUAGCUGGUCUGAGAGGACGAUCAGCCACACUGGGACUGAGACACGGCCCAGACUCCUACGGGAGGCAGCAGUGGGGAAUAUUGGACAAUGGGCGCAAGCCUGAUCCAGCAAUGCCGCGUGUGUGAAGAAGGCCUGCGGGUUGUAAAGCACUUUCAGUAGAGAAGAAAAGCCUACGGUUAAUACCCGUGGGUCUUGACGUUACCUACAGAAGAAGCUCCGGCUAACUCCGUGCCAGCAGCCGCGGUAAUACGGAGGGAGCGAGCGUUAAUCGGAAUUACUGGGCGUAAAGCGCGCGUAGGCGGCUUUGUAAGUCGGAUGUGAAAGCCCUGGGCUUAACCUGGGAAUGGCAUUCGAUACUGCAGAGCUAGAGUAUGGUAGAGGGAAGUGGAAUUUCCGGUGUAGCGGUGAAAUGCGUAGAUAUCGGAAGGAACACCAGUGGCGAAGGCGACUUCCUGGGCCAAUACUGACGCUGAGGUGCGAAAGCGUGGGGAGCAAACAGGAUUAGAUACCCUGCUAGUCCACGCCGUAAACGAUGAGAACUAGAUGUCGGGGGAACUUUGUCCUUCGGUGUCGCAGCUAACGCGUUAAGUUCUCCGCCUGGGGAGUACGCCGGCAACGGUAAAACUCAAAGGAAUUGACGGGGACCCGCACAAGCG
rnacentral:rRNA from 1 species